AGUUUGAUCCUGGCUCAGAACGAACGCUGGCGGCAGGCUUAACACAUGCAAGUCGAACGCCCCGCAAGGGGAGUGGCAGACGGGUGAGUAACGCGUGGGAACAUACCCUUUUCUACGGAAUAGCUCUGGGAAACUGGAAUUAAUACCGUAUACGCCCUACGGGGGAAAGAUUUAUCGGGGUAUGAUGAGCCCGCGUUGGAUUAGCUAGUUGGUGGGGUAAAGGCCUACCAAGCCGACGAUCCAUAGCUGGUCUGAGAGGAUGAUCAGCCACACUGGGACUGAGACACGGCCCAGACUCCUACGGGAGGCAGCAGUGGGGAAUAUUGGACAAUGGGUUAGCGCCUGAUCCAGCCAUCCCGCGUGAAGGACGACGGCCCUAUGGGUUGUAAACUUCUUUUGUACAGGGAUAAACCUUUCCACGUGUGGAAAGCUGAAGGUACUGUACGAAUAAGCACCGGCUAACUCCGUGCCAGCAGCCGCGGUAA
rnacentral:rRNA from 1 species